rnacentral:rRNA from 1 species
CAGCAGCCACGGGAAUACGUAGGUGGCAAGCGUUGUCCGGAAUUAUUGGGCGUAAAGGGCUCGCAGGCGGUUUCUUAAGUCUGAUGUGAAAGCCCCCGGCUCAACCGGGGAGGGUCAUUGGAAACUGGGAAACUUGAGUGCAGAAGAGGAGAGUGGAAUUCCACGUGCAGCGGUGAAAUGCGUAGAGAUGUGGAGGAACACCAGUGGCGAAGGCGACUCUCUGGUCUGUAACUGACGCUGAGGAGCGAAAGCGUGGGGAGCGAACAGGAUUAGAUACCCGAGUAGUCCCUGUCUCUUAUAA